rnacentral:rRNA from 1 species
GACGAACGCUGGCGGCGUGCUUAACACAUGCAAGUCGAACGGAAAGGCCCUGCUUUUGUGGGGUGCUCGAGUGGCGAACGGGUGAGUAACACGUGAGUAACCUGCCCUUGACUUUGGGAUAACUUCAGGAAACUGGGGCUAAUACCGGAUAGGAGCUCCUGCUGCAUGGUGGGGGUUGGAAAGUUUCGGCGGUUGGGGAUGGACUCGCGGCUUAUCAGCUUGUUGGUGGGGUAGUGGCUUACCAAGGCUUUGACGGGUAGCCGGCCUGAGAGGGUGACCGGCCACAUUGGGACUGAGAUACGGCCCAGACUCCUACAGGGGGCAGCAGGGGGGAAUAUUGCACAAUGGGCGGAAGCCUGAUGCAGCAACGCCGCGGGCGGGAUGACGGCCUUCGGGUUGUAAACCGCUUUCGCCUGUGACGAAGCGUGAGUGACGGUAAUGGGUAAAGAAGCACCGGCUAACUACGUG